rnacentral:lncRNA from 1 species
AUGGAAACUUCGAGAGAAAACCACCACACGGCUAUUUGUUCACCACCGACAGCGUUCCUGCAUCAAGGUGUGGACAUCUCUGGGGAAGCAUUAUUCUGCCUACCCGACCAGCCAAAGCUUUGCUAUUCAACUGAUAAGACAAACGAGACCCAGACCAAAGGACACAAGGACAGCACGAGGAGGGGUUCGGACACGGACAUUGCAACCCCAUGGGCUGGAUUGGAGUUUGAAACCCAGCUCUCCCACUUCUCUGCCAUGUGGCACCCCCGGGUCUCCUCAGCUGUGACGAGGACCGAUGAAGAGAUGCUAUGGGAGUCACGUCUGGCUCAGAGUCCUGCUCGGGAAACAGCAUUGUAG